AACGUAGGUUCCGAGCGUUAUCCGGAUUUACUGGGCGUAAAGCGCGUUCAGGCGGUUUGGCAAGUCGGGCAUGAAAUCUCUCGGCUCAACCGGGAGAGGUUGUCCGAUACUGCUGGACUUGAGGGCAGUAGAGGGUGGUGGAAUUCCGCGUGUAGCAGUGAAAUGCGUAGAUAUGCGGAGGAACACCGAUGGCGAAGGCAAUCCCCUGGGCCUGCACUGACGCUCAUGCACGAAAGCGUGGGGAGCAAACAGG
rnacentral:rRNA from 1 species